GAUGAAGAACGUAGCGAAAUGCGAUACUUGGUGUGAAUUGCAGAAUCCCGUGAACCAUCGAGACUUUGAACGCAAGUUGCGCCCGAAGCCAUUAGGCCGAGGGCACGCCUGCCUGGGUGUCACACGUCGUUGCCCCCCCAUCUACUCCUUCGGGAUUGCGGGGGGCGGAUGAUGGCCUCCCGUGCGCCUCGUCGCGCGGUUGGCAUAAAUGCCAAGUCCUCGGCGACGCACGCCACGACAAUCGGUGGUUGCGAAACCUCGGUUGCCCGUCGUGUGCGGUCGUCGCGCAUCGAGGGCUCGAAAAAAUUGCCGGGCUCCGGCUCGGCUUUCAACGCGACCCCAUGUCAGGCGGGGUUACCCGCUGAAUUUAAGCAUAUCAAUAAGCGGAGGA
rnacentral:misc_RNA from 1 species